rnacentral:rRNA from 1 species
ACACAUGCAAGUCGAGGGGCAGCAUGAACUUAGCUUGCUAAGUUUGAUGGCGACCGGCGCACGGGUGAGUAACACGUAUCCAACCUGCCGAUGACUCGGGGAUAGCCUUUCGAAAGAAAGAUUAAUACCCGAUGGCAUAGUUCUUCCGCAUGGUGGAACUAUUAAAGAAUUUCGGUCAUCGAUGGGGAUGCGUUCCAUUAGGUUGUUGGCGGGGUAACGGCCCACCAAGCCUUCGAUGGAUAGGGGUUCUGAGAGGAAGGUCCCCCACAUUGGAACUGAGACACGGUCCAAACUCCUACGGGAGGCAGCAGUGAGGAAUAUUGGUCAAUGGACGAGAGUCUGAACCAGCCAAGUAGCGUGAAGGAUGACUGCCCUAUGGGUUGUAAACUUCUUUUAUACGGGAAUAAAGUGAGGCACGUGUGCCUUUUUGUAUGUACCGUAUGAAUAAGGAUCGGCUAACUCCGUGCCAGCAGCCGCGGUAAUACGGAGGAUCCGAGCGUUAUCCGGAUUUAUUGGGUUUAAAGGGAGCGUAGGCGGACGCUUAAGUCAGUUGUGAAAGUUUGCGGCUCAACCGUAAAAUUGCAGUUGAUACUGGGUGUCUUGAGUACAGUAGAGGCAGGCGGAAUUCGUGGUGUAGCGGUGAAAUGCUUAGAUAUCACGAAGAACUCCGAUUGCGAAGGCAGCUUGCUGGACUGUAACUGACGCUGAUGCUCGAAAGUGUGGGUAUCAAACAGGAUUAGAUACCCUGGUAGUCCACACAGUAAACGAUGAAUACUCGCUGUUUGCGAUAUACAGUAAGCGGCCAAGCGAAAGCGUUAAGUAUUCCACCUGGGG